rnacentral:rRNA from 1 species
AACCUUUACACUGCACGACAGUGCGAUAAGGGAAUCCCAAGUGCGUAGGCAUAGAGCCUACGCUUUUGUCCACCGUAGGGAGGUGGACGAAUAAGGGCUGGGCAAGACCGGUGCCAGCCGCCGCGGUAAUACCGGCAGCCCGAGUGAUGGCCGAUCUUAUUGGGCCUAAAGCGUCCGUAGCUGGCCGCACAAGUCCAUCGGAAAAUCCACCCGCUCAACGGGUGGGCGUCCGGUGGAAACUGUGUGGCUUGGGACCGGAAGGCGCGACGGGUACGUCCGGGGUAGGAGUGAAAUCCCGUAAUCCUGGACGGACCGCCGAUGGCGAAAGCACGUCGCGAGAACGGAUCCGACAGUGAGGGACGAAAGCUAGGGUCUCGAACCGGAUUAGAUACCCGGGUAGUCCUAGCCGUAAACAAUGCCUGCUAGGUGUGGCUCCCACUACGAGUGGGUGCUGCGCCGUAGGGAAGCCGCUAAGCAGGCCGCCUGGGAAGUACGUCCGCAAGGAUGAAACUUAA